GUCUUCCGGUUCCGGGGGAAGUAUGGUUGCAAAGCUGAAAAUUAAGGGAAUUGACGGAAGGGCACCACCAGGAGUGGAGCCUGCGGCUUAAUUUGACUCAACACGGGGAAACUCACCCGGCCCGGACACCGUAAGGAUUGACAGAUUGAUAGCUCUUUCAUGAUUCGGUGGUUGGUGGUGCAUGGCCGUUCUUAGUUCGUGGAUAGAUUUGUCUGGUUUAUUCCGAUAACGAGCGAGACUCUAGCACUACUAAAUAGUAACGAGAUUGCCAUUGUCUUAGUUGCUUCUUAGAGGGAUUUUCGGUGUUUUAGCCGCACGAGAUUGAGCAAUAACAGGUCUGUGGAUGCCCUUAGAUGUCCGGGGGCUGCCACGCGGGCUACACUGGGCGAAAUCAGCGUGCUGUAUCCAUUCUCGAAAGGGAUUGGUAAACCCAUGAAAAUUUGCCGU
rnacentral:rRNA from 1 species